rnacentral:rRNA from 1 species
UACGUAGGUGGCAAGCGUUGUCCGGAUUUAUUGGGUUUAAAGGGUGCGUAGGUGGCUUUUUAAGUCAGGGGUGAAAGACGGUAGCUUAACUAUCGCAGUGCCUUUGAUACUGAAGAGCUUGAAUACACUAGAGGUAGGCGGAAUGUGACAAGUAGCGGUGAAAUGCAUAGAUAUGUCACAGAACACCAAUUGCGAAGGCAGCUUACUAUGGUGCAAUUGACACUGAGGCACGAAAGCGUGGGGAUCAAACAGG